ACUAAAAAAGAACUAAUUAUUAAUUUCUAACCAAGCAAUUGGGCGUUGCCCAUCCCUUUCAGGCUUUCAGGGACAGGAAUCAAGUCCAAAUUCUUCUGCCUCCUCCCCAAUCGGAUAAGAUGAACAACAAAAUUUAAGUAAACGCCCAUUUCCCUCUCAGAUUCCUGCUCCCCUAUAAAGCCCAUCUCUCCAUUUCAUUCCCUUUUUCGGAAACUCUCAGAAUCCACGCGCCACACACUCAAAAGCCUCAAGCUUUUGUUUUUCGAUCCCAAAGAAGGAAACAACAACAAAAGCAACCAACAAUUAUUUUUAUUUUAUUUUAUUUUGGAGGACUCGAGUCAAUCGUAAUAUUGAUUGGCAGCCACGAAUUUUGGGCUGGGAGGAGAAUCAAAAGCCUCGACCUUGAAGGAGUUUCGAAAGCGAUUCGGGAAGUCACUCUCUGCAGUUGAAGAUUGUGGAUGGAAUUGAAUCAAUUACUUGGUUUCUUAUGCCAGUCUGAGUUCAACUUGUGUGGUUCCUACUGCAAUGACAUUGCCGUUUUGAUCAAUAUCGAGGGAUUUCAGUGAGGAUUGCCCUCCUAAAUCAUGGAUGGUUCAAAUGAAGUUUCAAGCAAUGGUAAAGUUGAGAAUCAUGCCCUCCAGAUUAUAAGAUACUCUCCUUACCGGCCCUGCGGUACUUUCCUUACCGGCCCUGCAGUAAAGUACCUUCAUCUUGGUUUGAUUUGAGAGUCUUCUAUGUGAGGAUCAGUAACUUUAAGGUUGAUGAUUCGACCCCAAAGUUUCUGACUCUCCAUCAUAUUCCUGUAAGCCCGGAUACCCUUUUGGAAGUCAAUGGUGCUAAAACUAGCAUUCACUCUGAAGGUGUUUCUUCACAUCUUAGAAGGGAUCAGGUAGAUAAGAAAUCUGAAGAGGCCACAUUUGUGAAUACAGACAGUAUAAGGUUGACCGGGAGCGUGAGAUUUGAGGUGUAUGACAAAGAUGAUCUCAUCCUCUCUGGGGUGUUAGAGAUGUCUAAUAGCAACGGUUUCGUUGGGGAAUCAAAAAACAAUGUCAAGCGAUGGAGCAUGAAUUGUGAAUCAGAUAUCAGUGCCUGCACUGGAUUUUUGAAGGGGAAACAUCUUGGUGGCGCUGAAUUAACUGCACCAACCAUUGAAGUUUACAUCACAGGGUGCUUCUCUGGCACACCGAUCAUCUUAACCAAGACCCUGCAGCUUCAUUUUAGAAAGAAACACAAUAGGAAGAGCACGUUGGGUGCAAUACCGGAGUACGAGACAACCGAAUGCCAGAAAGAUGUCUCUCCUGGAGUUGAUAUGGAGGUAGCAGAGUACAGAAACUACAAGCCGGAGAACGAGGACGAGUACAACAAUAUGUACUGGAGGAGGACGGAAUAUAUGGAUGGUGAAGAAGGAGAACUCUCAUGGUUCAAUGCUGGUGUGAGAGUUGGCGUGGGUAUCGGACUUGGCGUUUGUCUUGGAGUUGGCAUAGGGGUCGGUUUGCUGGUCCGCACUUACCAAACGACCACGCGAACUUUCAAGAGACGCCUGUUGUGAUGUCAAUGUGUCUUGUGUGCUCAAUCUCGAAGGGCAGCUAACCUCGUCUACGUUUAACGUGCAUCUCUAACGACAGAUUUUGACUGACAGUUUAUAUGUCUCGCAUUCUCUGUUGUUUCCUCCAUAAACUCUUGGUGAGAGGUUUGUUUAGAAGGAGAGUGUGAUAGAAAGAGAGAGAGUCUUUGAUAGAAAGAGAGACAGUCUUUGAUAGAAGGAGAGUAUAUAAAUGGUAAAAUAUUGUAUUUCGUUGUAGUAGAUAACAUCUCUUUCCCCAAAGCUAAUAAAAUUCGAUUUAAUAAAUUUUA